GACGAACGCUGGCGGCGUGCUUAACACAUGCAAGUCGAACGGAAAGGCCCUGCUUGCAGGGUACUCGAGUGGCGAACGGGUGAGUAACACGUGGGUGAUCUGCCCUGCACUUCGGGAUAAGCCUGGGAAACUGGGUCUAUUACCGGAUAGGAGCCAUUUUUAGUGUGAUGGUUGGAAAGUUUUUUCGGUGUAGGAUGAGCUCGCGGCCUAUCAGCUUGUUGGUGGGGUAAUGGCCUACCAAGGCGGCGACGGGUAGCCGGCCUGAGAGGGUGGACGGCCACACUGGGUCUGAGAGACGGCCCAGACUGCUACGGGAGGCAGCAGUGGGGAAUAUUGCACCAUGGGCGCAAGCCUGAUGCAGCGACGCCGCGUGGGGGAUGACGGCCUUCGUGUUGUAAACUCCUUUCGCUAGGGACGAAGCUUUUUGUGACGGUACCUAGAGAAGAAGCACCGGCUAACUACGUG
rnacentral:rRNA from 1 species